GACAGAGGGUGCAAACGUUGUUCGGAAUUACUGGGCGUAAAGCGUGUGUAGGCGGCCACGUAAGUCGGAUGUGAAAGCCCCGGGCUCAACCCGGGAAGUGCACUCGAUACUGCCAAGCUAGAGUAUCGGAGAGGUUGGUGGAAUUCUCGGUGUAGAGGUGAAAUUCGUAGAUAUCGAGAGGAACACCGGUGGCGAAGGCGGCCAACUGGACGAAUACUGACGCUGAGACUCGAAAGCGUGGGGAGCAAACAGG
rnacentral:rRNA from 1 species